CGCGUGCUUAAACAUGCAAGUCGAACGGUGAAGCCCUUCGGGGUGGAUCAGUGGCGAACGGGUGAGUAACACGUGGGGAAUCUGCCCUGAACUCUGGGACAAGCCUUGGAAACGAGGUCUAAUACCGGAUACGACCUUCUCCUGCAUGGGGGUUGGUGGAAAGCUCCGGCGGUUCAGGAUGAUCCCGCGGCCUAUCAGCUUGUUGGUGGGGUAAUGGCCUACCAAGGCGACGACGGGUAGCCGGCCUGAGAGGGCGACCGGCCACACUGGGACUGAGACACGGCCCAGACUCCUACGGGAGGCAGCAGUGGGGAAUAUUGCACAAUGGGCGAAAGCCUGAUGCAGCGACGCCGCGUGAGGGAUGACGGCCUUCGGGUUGUAAACCUCUUUCAGCAGGGAAGAAGCGCAAGUGACGGUACCUGCAGAAGAAGCACCGGCUAACUACGUGCCAGCAGCCGCGGUAAUACGUAGGGUGCGAGCGUUGUCCGGAAUUAUUGGGCGUAAAGAGCUCGUAGGCGGCCUGUCGCGUCGGAUGUGAAAGCCCGGGGCUUAACCCCGGGUCUGCAUUCGAUACGGGCAGGCUAGAGUGUGGUAGGGGAGAUCGGAAUUCCUGGUGUAGCGGUGAAAUGCGCAGAUAUCAGGAGGAACACCGGUGGCGAAGGCGGAUCUCUGGGCCAUUACUGACGCUGAGGAGCGAAAGCGUGGGGAGCGAACAGGAUUAGAUACCCUGGUAGUCCACGCCGUAAACGUUGGGAACUAGGUGUUGGCGACAUUCCACGUCGUCGGUGCCGCAGCUAACG
rnacentral:rRNA from 1 species